rnacentral:rRNA from 1 species
CUAGUUGAUAGAUAAGAUUUGUUUUAUAGCGCUGCUUAUCCUCUUGACCCUAACUAACAGGAAGGGGACGGUUAAUUACGUGCCAGCAGCCGCGUAAAUACGUAGGUCCCGAGCGUUGUCCGGAUUUAUUGGGCGUAAAGCGAGCGCAGGUGGUUUAAUAAGUCUGAUGUAAAAGGCAGUGGUUCAACCAUUGUGUGCAUUGGAAACUGUUAAACUUGAGUGCAGAAGAGGAGAGUGGAAUUCCAUGUGUAGCGGUGAAAUGCGUAGAUAUAUGGAGGAACACCGGUGGCGAAAGCGGCUCUCUGGACUGUCACUGACACUGAGGCUCGAAAGCGUGGGUAGCAAACAGGAUUAGAUACCCUGGUAGUCCACGCCGUAACGAUGAGUGCUA